rnacentral:rRNA from 1 species
UGGGGAAUAUUGCACAAUGGGCGAAAGCCUGAUGCAGCAACGCCGCGUGAGUGAUGAAGGCCUUCGGGUUGUAAAGCUCUGUCUUCUGGGACGAUAAUGACGGUACCAGAGGAGGAAGCCACGGCUAACUACGUGCCAGCAGCCGCGGUAAUACGUAGGGGGCAAGCGUUGUCCGGAUUUACUGGGUGCAAAGGGUGCUCAGGCGGAUUUGUAAGUCAGAGGUGAAAUCUUACAGCUUAACUGUGAAACUGCCUUUGAUACUGCAAGCCUAGAGUAUGGAAGAGAGUGAUGGAAUAUCUGGUGUAGCAGUGAAAUGCGUAGAUAUCAGAUAGAACUCCAAUGGCGAAGGCAGUCACUUGGUCCAUUACUGACGCUAAAGCACGAAAGCGUGGGUAGCAAACA